AACGCACAUUGCGCCCGCCAGUAUUCUGGCGGGCAUGCCUGUUCGAGCGUCAUUUCAACCAUCAAGCCCCCGGCUUGUGUUGGGGACCUGCGGCUGCCCGCAGGCCCUGAAAACCAGUGGCGGUCUCGCUGUCACACCGAGCGCAGUAGCAUCAUCUCGCUCAGGGCGUGCUGCGGGUUUCCGGCCGUUAAAAAGCCUUCGUAACCCAAGGUUGACCUCGGAUCAGGUAGGAAGACCCGCUGAACUUAA
rnacentral:misc_RNA from 1 species